UCGGUGAGGUAACCUUAUGGAGCCAGCCGCCGAAGGUGGGGCCAAUGAUUGGGGUGAAGUCGUAACAAGGUAGCCGUAUCGGAAGGUGCGGCUGGAUCACCUCCUUUCUAAGGA
rnacentral:rRNA from 1 species